rnacentral:tRNA from 1 species
GCCAAUGUAGCUCAGUGGUAGAGCGCAUCCUUGGUAAGGAUGAGGUCACGGGUUCAACUCCCGUCAUCGGCU